rnacentral:rRNA from 1 species
UUUCUUAAGUCUGAUGUGAAAGCCCCCGGCUCAACCGGGGAGGGUCAUUGGAAACUGGGAAACUUGAGUGCAGAAGAGGAGAGUGGAAUUCCACGUGUAGCGGUGAAAUGCGUAGAGAUGUGGAGGAACACCAGUGGCGAAGGCGACUCUCUGGUCUGUAACUGACGCUGAGGAGCGAAAGCGUGGGGAGCGAACAGGAUUAGAUACCCUGGUAGUCCACGCCGUAAACGAUGAGUGCUAAGUGUUAGGGGGUUUCCGCCCCUUAGUGCUGCAGCUAACGCAUUAAGCACUCCGCCUGGGGAGUACGGUCGCAAGACUGAAACUCAAAGGAAUUGACGGGGGCCCGCACAAGCGGUGGAGCAUGUGGUUUAAUUCGAAGCAACGCGAAGAACCUUACCAGGUCUUGACAUCCUCUGACAACCCUAGAGAUAGGGCUUUCCCUUCGGGGACAGAGUGACAGGUGGUGCAUGGUUGUCGUCAGCUCGUGUCGUGAGAUGUUGGGUUAAGUCCCGCAACGAGCGCAACCCUUGAUCUUAGUUGCCAGCAUUCAGUUGGGCACUCUAAGGUGACUGCCGGUGACAAACCGGAGGAAGGUGGGGAUGACGUCAAAUCAUCAUGCCCCUUAUGACCUGGGCUACACACGUGCUACAAUGGACAGAACAAAGGGCUGCAAGACCGCAAGGUUUAGCCAAUCCCAUAAAUCUGUUCUCAGUUCGGAUCGCAGUCUGCAACUCGACUGCGUGAAGCUGGAAUCGCUAGUAAUCGCGGAUCAGCAUGCCGCGGGUGAAUACGUUUCCCCCGGGCUGUUU